GCUCAGCUCUGUGCUGCUGGGGCUGAGGCACAUGGUGCUUGUGUUUGGCCACAGGAGUCCUGAAGGGUGCCGGAAUAUGCUGGCUCCACUCCCCAGCCAACGUGCUUGUUACCAAUUAGCCUAGCCCAUCAUGCUACCAUCCCUUAUGUAACCAGUCAGCCUUGGGAACAUUUGAAGGAUUCAAGAUGGAACGGAUAAAGAGGCGACCGAUUACAUGCAUCCGGGCCUACGUUGGGGCUUACAGGGCACAGCCAUGAGAUCAGGUCUCUGGACGUCUCUCCAAGCAAGCAAAGAGGAGAAGAUAUUUAGUGUGAGGUCUCUCUUUGGCCUGGAACACCAACAAAUAGACCAGCCAGCUUGCCAGCCAGCACCUGGCAUCUGUCUUCCUCUGACUCCCAUCUUGCUAAAGAUGAAGUUGCCAGUCCAUGCCACAACGCUGCAUUCAUUCACUGUGUGUAGCAUCUGGGGUAAGAAGGACAGCAGCUGGCCUUGGAGGAGGCAUAGAGGACCAGUAGAUCCUUCAGUCAGGCAAGGACCGGACUGGCUGGAUUCAUCACGGAUGCUGGCACAGGAGAUCCCAGUUGUCUACGUCUCGAUACCCCAGUGGGAGGCGGAGUCUACUCCUGCCAGUCUCUGAAGUUGAGGCACCGGUGCUGGCUCCACAUCUGAGCAUACUGGGAUCUCCCACCUGUGACCCAGAUCACUUCCUGGCCACGCCUUCAUUCCCAAGGUGUCCUAGAGUCCCUCCAUAGUGAUUUUCAGGCAUAACAGGACAGGGUCCCCAAGAUGUACAUCUCAGCCAGGACCCCCAAAGCAGCCAGAAAAAGAGAUUGCGAGAAGCACACAACCCCUCCCCAAGAUCCAGAUACAGUUCCAGGAGCUGGGGACACGGUCAGCAGAGUGCUUGCUCCGUGCACGAACUGUUGGGUCUCAUCCCCAGUGCUGAGUAAACUGCAUGGUGAUACACAUCUAUAAUCUCAGCGCUUGGGAGAUAAAGGCAGAAGAAUCGGAAAUUCAAGGUCAUUCUCAACUAUAUUGUAAGUCAGAGCUAACCUGGGCUACACGAGAUUCUGUCUCAGAGAAGAAGAGAAAAGGCACCUGGGCCAGAGAUGACCACCUGAGAGCCCAGGCUGGGACUGGGAGGACAGAGGACUUUUACCUGCAGGGCCCUGGAGCUCAUGCUAGCGAACGUCCUAACCCCACCCCCAACCCCGGUGAGAUGUGUUGGUUGUAGUCAGAGGGUUUGACCUGAUGUGGGGCAUGAGGGAGACAUUUUAGUUAAUGGUCUCCAGUCAUGUAUGUACGGAAAGCUGUCAAUACCAUGGUAGCCACACAGCCUUGUUGCUGUAGCUUCUUGUAGUCCAAAAUGUCCUGAGAGAGAGAGGACCCUACCACACCAAUUGGAUGGCCAGUAAGAUAUCUGUAAUCUCUGAAGCCCACCUUCCUGAUCUCAUAUGGCCCCUUCCUCUCAUGUCCGCAGCACACACACACACACACACACACACAGCCAUGUCAGUACAUAUGAGCAUCCCUCCUCAAAAAAUCAGUAAUUGCCAGGCAGUGGUGGCGCAUGCCUUUAAUCCCAGUACUUGGGAGGCAGAAGCAGGCAGAUUUCUG